rnacentral:rRNA from 1 species
GACGAACGCUGGCGGCGUGCUUAACACAUGCAAGUCGAACGGAAAGGCCCUGCUUUUGUGGGGUGCUCGAGUGGCGAACGGGUGAGUAACACGUGUGUAACCUGCCCUUGACUUUGGGAUAACUUCAGGAAACUGGGGCUAAUACCGGAUAGGAGCUCCUGCUGCAUGGUGGGGGUUUGAAAGUUUCGGCGGUUGGGGAUGGACUCGCGGCUUAUCAGCUUGUUGGUGGGGUAGUGGCUUACCAAGGCUUUGACGGGUAGCCGGCCUGAGAGGGUGACCGGCCACAUUGGGACUGAGAUACGGCCCAGACUCCUACGGGAGGCAGCAGUGGGGAAUAUUGCACAAUGGGCGGAAGCCUGAUGCAGCAACGCCGCGUGCGGGAUGACGGCCUUCGGGUUGUAAACCGCUUUCGCCUGUGACGAAGCGUGAGUGACGGUAAUGGGUAAAGAAGCACCGGCUAACUACGUG